rnacentral:sRNA from 1 species
AAAGACAAUUAUGAGAGGACUGAUGAAUGGACAAUGAAGAACUAAACUAUAUUUUUAUUUGAAUUGAAUGAUUUCAAACACAAAAUAUAGGGUUAGUUUAUCCAUUUUUAACAAUCAGUUUGCAUUGUAUUUGUCAUGACACAAAUGGCAAAUCGUAUUUAUUUAGUGAAAGACUAAUCCUUCCAAUGCACAAGUGGAGGGAUUUUUUC